GUCCUCUUACAUUCGUCUCUGUCUGCGUCCCAGCUCAGUGUUAUUCACUGUUGCGGCGGCUGCGUUAUGCAUCCUAGUGAUGUCUGCUAUCGUCGGGGUAGUGCUGUGGAGAUUGUCCGAGAACAAAGGCAGCACAGAUGAACUGCCCGAAAAAAAGGGACCCAGCGCAACCAUCUCUGGGCACCCAGCGGCCAGUACGAGCCCAGUUGUACCCGAGGAUGACGAUACAGCGGAUGACUCGGCGACUGACAAAAGGACCCCGACCAAGAUACCAAGUAUUGCGCCAGGACCACGU